GGUAGUUUAUUUAAAGAUACACACGUAGAAAACAAACACAAAACAAAAUGAAAAUAAUAAGUGAUACCGCAUGAAUUAUCAAGGUAGACCCCACAUUGCCUCCACACGUGCGAAUUUGAACUGCACAGUUUUUCCUUAUUGAAUUUCGAAAAGGAUUUUCGGACUUCGCAAGCUGACAUAGACCUCAAGGCCAUUCCUACACACGUGAAGGAAAUCCUCAAGGACUUGACUGCGCAGUCCAAACCUUGAGGAUUUCCUCUACGUGUGUACCUACCUUAAGAUAGGUACAGUCAACUCUUAAAUAUUAAAUAAAUAAAAAUAAUAAUAAUAAUACUAUACAGGAAAGUACAGUG